CGGUAAUUCCAGCUCCAAUAGCGUAUACUAAAGUUGUUGCAGUUAAAAAGCUCGUAGUUGGAUUUCUGCGGGGACGGAGCGGCCGGACGCAACUUGCGUCUCGAGCUAGCGCUUUCCCCGCAUCCUGCCGCGAACCGUGCUACCAUUAGUUUGGUGGCGCUGGGGAUCGGCUCGAUUACUUUGAGAAAAAUAGAGUGUUCAAAGCAGGCCACACGCCUUGAAUAAGUUAGCAUGGAAUAAUGACUAAGGACUUCGGUUCUAUUUUGUUGGUGUUCGGGACUGAAGUAAUGAUUGAUAGGGACAGUUGGGGCGGUCUGUAUUCCAAAGCGAGAGGUGAAAUUCUUAGACCUUCGGAAGACAAACAGCUGCGAAAGCGUUCCGCAAGGAUGUUCCCUUUGAUCAAGAACGAAAGUUGGGGGAUCGAAGACGAUCAGAUACCGUCGUAGUCUCAACUAUAAACUAUACCAGCUAGGGAUCGGUCAACGUUUAAUUAUUCGACUUGAUCGGCACCUUAUGAGAAAUCAAAGCAUCUGGGUUCCGGGGGGAGUAUGGUCGCAAGGCUGAAACUUAAAGGAAUUGACGGAAGGGCACCACCAGCCGUGGAGCCUGUGGCUUAAUUUGACUCAACACGGGAAAACUUACCAGGUCCAGACAUAGUAAGGAUUGACAGAUUGAUAGCUCUUUCUUGAUUCUGUGGGUGGUGGUGCAUGGCCGUUCUUAGUUGGUGGAGUGAUUUGUCUGGUUAAUUCCGUUAACGAACGAGACCCCAGCCUGCUAAAUAGCGCGGCUGAGCUUUGCUCGGUGCGAGCUUCUUAGAGGGACUAUGAUGCGCGAUAGCACAUGGAAGUUUGGGGCAAUAACAGGUCUGUGAUGCCCUUAGAUGUUCUGGGCCGCACACGGGCUACACUGGCGCCUGCAACGAGCAUAUCAGCUGGCCCGAGAGGGUCUUGGCUAAUCUUUUGAACCGGCGCCGUGCUUGGGAUUGACCUUUGCAAUUGUUGGUCAUGCAACGAGGAAUGCCUUGUAAACGCGAGUCAUCAGCUCGCAUUGAAUACGUCCCUGCCCCUUGUACACACCGCCC
rnacentral:rRNA from 1 species